AUUGAACGCUGGCGGCAUGCCUUACACAUGCAAGUCGAACGGCAGCACGGGAGCAAUCCUGGUGGCGAGUGGCGAACGGGUGAGUAAAGUAUCGGAACGUGCCCAGUCGUGGGGGAUAACGUAGCGAAAGUUACGCUAAUACCGCAUACGAUCUCAGGAUGAAAGCGGGGGAUCGCAAGACCUCGCGCGAUUGGAGCGGCCGAUAUCAGAUUAGGUAGUUGGUGGGGUAAAGGCUCACCAAGACGACGAUCUGUAGCUGGUCUGAGAGGACGACCGGCCCCACUGGGACUGAGACACGGCCCAGACUCCUACGGAAGGCAGCAGUGGGGAAUUUUGGACACGCGGCGAAAGCCUGAUCCAGCCAUGCCGCGUGCAGGAUGAGUGCCUUCGGGUUGUAAACUGCUUUUGUACGGAACGAAAAGGUUUGGCCUAAUAAGCUGGGCUCAUGACGGUACCGUAAGAAUAAGCACCGGCUAACUACGUGCCAGCCGCCGCAGUAA
rnacentral:rRNA from 1 species